UAGGGAAUCUUCCACAAUGGACGAAAGUCUGAUGGAGCAACGCCGCGUGAGUGAAGAAGGGUUUCGGCUCGUAAAACUCUGUUGUUAAAGAAGAACAUAUCUGAGAGUAACUGUUCAGGUAUUGACGGUAUUUAACCAGAAAGCCGCGGCUAACUACGUGUCAG
rnacentral:rRNA from 1 species